UACGGGGGGAGCAAGCGUUGUUCGGAUUUACUGGGCGUAAAGGGCGCGUAGGCGGCCACCGCAAGUCAGUUGUGAAAUCUCUGGGCUUAACCCAGAAAGGUCAACUGAUACUGCGGGGCUAGAGUGCAGAAGGGGCAACUGGAAUUCUCGGUGUAGCGGUGAAAUGCGUAGAUAUCGAGAGGAACACCUGCGGCGAAGGCGGCCUUCUGGACAGUGACUGACGCUGAGACGCGAAAGCGUGGGGAGCAAACAGG
rnacentral:rRNA from 1 species